CAGAGUACGGGAUAUUGGUAUAGUUCAAUCAGAGGGCAACACUCUUUAAAUUUAGAGUUUUUGCUAUUUGAUUGAGCCGUGCCAAUAUCACGUACGUACGU
rfam:Cephalotus follicularis DNA, scaffold: scaffold3422, isolate: St1.